rnacentral:lncRNA from 15 species
AUGGUGCUCACCAAGAAACCACGACGGUUCUUGAAGGAAAAUGUGGAGUAUUUGUCCUGCCUGGACCCUGGCUAUGAACUGAACAGUCUAGCUUACUUGCCUUGUUCAGAACCAAACAAUAGUCAAGAGGGGCCUAAACCGGGUGAUAGUCUAAGCUACCCGUCUCCCUCAAAGGAGUCCAUAUUGGAUAGAGAUCAGGAUCACCUGUAUUUCCGAGGAUCCAGUCCCACACCUUUCCUGGAGCCUUGUUACAGCUCAUUCUCCACCUCCUCGCCUUCUGACAGCGCCUCCGCCUCUCUCCAGGGGCCCGGCUCCAAACCAGAAGAAGACAACCCUUCCCUUCCCAUGUCCUCUGGCGCUGAGGAAGAGAAGCGAGGUGAGGACCCGUACCUCCUCUGUGAUGUCGCUGGAGGAGAAGUCGCGGCCGCUGUGAGUGUCAGCGCGCCGCAGGAGGAGAGGAGUCGUAAUGAGGGGCCUCCUUAUCUUAAUCCCCGGGCGCGUGUCGCCCCGAUAGACUCCUCCGCAGCCGAAUGUUUGGCAGAUACUAAAACGCUUGAAUCCAAUAUGGGCGCCGUAAUGACCAAGAUAAGUGUCUGCAGCUCCGCUACAAAUCCCUCAAAAGAGCCAGCCGCCACCGCCACGCGUAUUAAUCCCAAAAUUAACUGCUCGGCGAUGAGGGAGGCAGAUAGGGAGGAGGGGGCGAGGCGAGGAGAGGUGGAUACUCGGCGGGUGAAGCAGGAGGAGAAAGGGAGGAGAGGGCGGAGUGGCUCGCAGCGGGAAGCAAAGACAGCAGCAGAGAAGCAGGUGAGCUCACAUGCCACCAGAACAGCACCAGGACGGAGCCAGGCCUCAGUGAGACCGCCCACCAUGAGAACAGGGACAGUCAGAAGACUACCUGUGUUGGGAGCAGGAACAUCCAGGAUCCAGCUUUAA